rnacentral:rRNA from 1 species
AUUGAACGCUGGCGGCAGGCCUAACACAUGCAAGUCGAACGGUAACAGGUCUUCGGAUGCUGACGAGUGGCGAACGGGUGAGUAAUACAUCGAAACGUGCCCGAUCGUGGGGGAUAACGAAGCGAAAGCUUUGCUAAUACCGCAUACGAUCUACGGAUGAAAGCAGGGGACCGCAAGGCCUUGCGCGAACGGAGCGGCCGAUGGCAGAUUAGGUAGUUGGUGGGGUAAAGGCUUACCAAGCCUACGAUCUGUAGCUGGUCUGAGAGGACGACCAGCCACACUGGGACUGAGACACGGCCCAGACUCCUACGGGAGGCAGCAGUGGGGAAUUUUGGACAAUGGGCGCAAGCCUGAUCCAGCAAUGCCGCGUGCAGGAUGAAGGCCUUCGGGUUGUAAACUGCUUUUGUACGGAACGAAAAGGCUCUGGUUAAUACCUGGGGCUCAUGACGGUACCGUAAGAAUAAGCACCGGCUAACUACGUGCCAGCCGCCGCUGUAACAC